CCUACGGGAGGCUGCAGUAGGGAAUCUUCCACAAUGGGCGAAAGCCUGAUGGAGCAACGCCGCGUGGGUGAAGAAGGUCUUCGGAUCGUAAAACCCUGUUGUUAGAGAAGAAAGUGCGUGAGAGUAACUGUUCACGUUUCGACGGUAUCUAACCAGAAAGCCACGGCUAACUACGUGCCAGCAGCCGCGGUAAUACGUAGGUGGCAAGCGUUAUCCGGAUUUAUUGGGCGUAAGGGGAACGCAGGCGGUCUUUUAAGUCUGAUGUGAAAGCCUUCGGCUUAACCGGAGUAGUGCAUUGGAAACUGGGAGACUGGAGUGCAGAAGAGGAGAGUGGAACUCCAUGUGUAGCGGUGAAAUGCGUAGAUAUAUGGAAGAACACCAGUGGCGAAAGCGGCUCUCUGGUCUGUAACUGACGCUGAGGUUCGAAAGCGUGGGUAGCAAACAGGAUUAGAUACCCUUGUAGUC
rnacentral:rRNA from 1 species